rnacentral:tRNA from 1 species
GCCUGGGUGGCUCAGUCGGUUGAGCAUCCGACUUCAGCUCAGGUCGUGAUCUCCUGGCUCGUGAGUUCGAGCCCCGCAUCGGGCU